UACGUAGGGUGCGAGCGUUAAUCGGAAUUACUGGGCGUAAAGCGUGCGCAGGCGGUUAUGUAAGACAGGUGUGAAAUCCCGGGGCUUAACCUCGGAAUUGCGCUUGUGACUGCAUGACUAGAGUACGGUAGAGGGGGGUAGAAUUCCGCGUGUAGCAGUGAAAUGCGUAGAUAUGCGGAGGAACACCGAUGGCGAAGGCAGCCCCCUGGACCUGUACUGACGCUCAUGCACGAAAGCGUGGGGAGCAAAC
rnacentral:rRNA from 1 species